rnacentral:rRNA from 1 species
UACGGAGGGUGCAAGCGUUAUCCGGAUUCACUGGGUUUAAAGGGUGCGUAGGCGGAUAGGUAAGUCCGUGGUGAAAUCCUGCAGCUUAACUGCAGAACUGCCAUGGAUACUAUUUAUCUUGAAUAUCGUGGAGGUUAGCGGAAUAUGUCAUGUAGCGGUGAAAUGCUUAGAUAUGACAUAGAACACCCAUUGCGAAGGCAGCUAACUACGCGAUAAUUGACGCUGAGGCACGAAAGCGUGGGGAUCAAACAGG